UGAGCACAGACGACAUUGUGGUCCCUCAACACAACAUUAAUUCAAAUCCUCUUUCGCUCGGCUUUAAUGGGGAAACCGUAACAGGACGUGUCAGCAAACCGAGGGAUUGAGCGAGGAGGCGAAUCGGUCCAAAGGGUGACAGAGCAGUCUGAGAAAAGGACGCGACAGCAAGAGCAAGACGGUCAAAGGAGUGGCAGAAUGCCGGGGAGGAGAGGACUGGGACGGGAUCGGACGGGACGCGGAGGACAGGAGUCAUCGCUAUGGUAACGG
ensembl:lncRNA